UUUUCUAACUUAAAUACCUGGAAGGAAGGCUGUCCCUUUGGCCAUUUCUGUUUAUGAAUAAAAAACUUAGCUUGCAAAACAAAAAGGUUCACUACAUAUUCCAAAGUGUUAUUAUCAGGAUUAUCAUAAUAAAAAAGAAAAUCUUUUACGCUAAGAGAGUAAGGUGGAUCAAAAAGGUGACUAUUUAAGUCACUGAGAAAUGUUUUAGUUUUCUCACAUUCAACGUAAGAAAGCUUUUUUGCACACCUGUUUUUGUUGGACAGGUGCGUAGGAUAUGAUCAAGAGUAGCAGAUCAAAAGCUUAGAGAAGAGUCCCACACACUGACCAUUACGCAAGCAAUAAUUUAUUUAAAAAAAUACAACCACAUGUGAGGAGUGC